UCCCUGGUAGUAUAUCGGUUAGUACACGCGCCUGUCAUUAGGUGGUGGCGUUCGCGCGAAAGCUGGGUUCGACUCCCAGCCAGGGAG
rnacentral:tRNA from 1 species